GUGCUCACUUUGGCAGCACAUAUACUAAAAUUGGAACAAUACAGACAAGAUUCAGACAGCCCCUGACCAAGGAUGACAUGCAAAUUCGUGAAGCAUUCCAUAUUUUG
ensembl:snRNA U6 U6 spliceosomal RNA